rnacentral:rRNA from 1 species
CCUACGGGUGGCAGCAGUGGGGAAUAUUGGGCAAUGGGCGCAAGCCUGACCCAGCAACGCCGCGUGAAGGAAGAAGGCUUUCGGGUUGUAAACUUCUUUUCUCAGGGACGAAGCAAGUGACGGUAGCUGAGGAAUAAGCCACGGCUAACUACGUGCCAGCAGCCGCGGUAAUACGUAGGUGGCAAGCGUUAUCCGGAUUUACUGGGUGUAAAGGGCGUGUAGGCGGGAAAGCAAGUCAGAUGUGAAAACCAUGGGCUCAACCUGUGGCCUGCAUUUGAAACUGUUUUUCUUGAGUACUGGAGAGGCAGACGGAAUGUCUAGUGUAGCGGUGAAAUGCGUAGAGAUUAGGAGGAACACCAGUGGCGAAGGCGGUCUGCUGGACAGCAACUGACGCUGAGGCGCGAAAGCGUGGGGAGCAACCAGGAUUAGAUACCCGAGUAGUC